AAUCUAUAGAGUCGUUUUCCGUGCCGGACUGUGUCCAAGUCCCUUGGAACAGGGUAUCAAAGAGGGUGAUAAUCCCGUACUUGACACAAUGACCGGUGCUCUGUGAUACGUCUUCUACGAGUCGAGUUGUUUGGGAAUGCAGCUCAAAAUGGGUGGUGAGUUCCAUCUAAAGCUAAAUAUUGGCGAGAGACCGAUAGCGAACAAGUACCGUGAGGGAAAGAUGAAAAGCACUUUGGAAAGAGAGUUAAACAGUACGUGAAAUUGUUAAAAGGGAAACGAUUGAAGUCAGUCGUGACUGAGAGGCUCAGCCGGUUCUGCCGGUGUAUUCCCCUCAGUCGGGUCAACAUCAGUUUUGUUCGGUGGAUAAGGGCAGUUGGAAGGUGGCACCCUCGGGUGUGUUAUAGCCAGCUGUCGCAUACAUCGGAUGAGACUGAGGAAUGCAGCUCGCCUUUAUGGCCGGGGUUCGCCCACGUUCGAGCUUAGGAUGUUGACAUAAUGGCUUUAAACGACCCGUCUUGAAA
rnacentral:rRNA from 1 species